CAAAGCCGUCAAAAACCAGUCUUCAUAAAAAUGUCAAAAAUUGCCAGUCAAAAAAGAAAGCCAAACUUUUGGAAAUCAAGGCGACCAUACGGCAUGAAGGGUGAAUGUAGUUGUUCUUUAUGUUCACUGACCACGCUUUGUCGACAGAACGCCAAGAGGUAGUUUUUCCAUCCUGGGAGCUCGCCUGCCGAUACAACUCGCACCCACCACCGCAGGUGUUGGGUGAGAGGGCCUUCGUCCUUAUUGGCGACAUCGCAAAUGUACAGCAGCGUGACCAUCUCUGGAGGGAGGCGCGCGCACUGGGGGGUCGCGGCCGCGGCGCGAGGCGGGCGCGCUCCAAAAUCACGCUGUCGUGCUCCUCAUUGCCUCUCGCCGGAGUUUAUCAAGAAUGGGGAAUGAUGAGGAAUACUGCCCGGUAAUGAUGGGGGCGUGACUGCGGGGCCCCGCCGACGUCAAAGUGGCACGACAACCGACAUGGAAAGUGGGCCUUCCACGAGGCGCGGCAUGGCUCUCUACUGGUGGUCGCCUUGAAACUAGACCAGAAAAACAAAUGGGGUGCCUUCUAAUCCCUUCUUUGAAGGCCGUCGUGAAGUAAGUGCCUCACAAAAGGUGAUAUUUUUUGGCACCUUUCGAUGCCGUUGUAACUAAGCAGCACCCCUAAAAAUCCCCAGCACCCUUAAAAUGGUUUGUGUGUUGUUUUUUGGUGUAUUUUUUUGCACCUUUGUCUUUGUAGUGACUCCACACACUAUUUGUAGUGCACCGGAAAAUAUAACAUUCAGAGGUGACUCAGAAACAUUAAGAAACAUUAUGACACAUUCGAAAAAACAAUUGGUAAAAAAUAUUAUCCGCAUUUUUGCUAGUUGUAAUUGUUAAAAUGCGCCCUUAUUACAUUUUGUCGGACUAGUUGCCAAGAUGAAAGUACAAUGUCACGAUAAUCACAGAUGUAUGUCUAUUUAAGUGUAUAUCUAUUAAAGCGAUUUAUGUUGA